rnacentral:rRNA from 1 species
UACGUAGGGUGCAAGCGUUGUCCGGAAUUAUUGGGCGUAAAGAGCUCGUAGGCGGUUUGUCGCGUCUGCUGUGAAAACUCGGGGCUUAACCCCGGGCCUGCAGUGGGUACGGGCAGACUAGAGUGCGGUAGGGGAGACUGGAAUUCCUGGUGUAGCGGUGAAAUGCGCAGAUAUCAGGAGGAACACCGGUGGCGAAGGCGGCGACCUGGACAAGUACUGACACUCAACUACGAAAGCGUGGGGAGCAAACAGG